rnacentral:rRNA from 2 species
GACGCAAGUCUGAUGGAGCAACGCCGCGUGAGUGAAGAAGGCUUUCGGGUCGUAAAACUCUGUUGUUGGAGAAGAAUGGUCGGCAGAGUAACUGUUGUCGGCGUGACGGUAUCCAACCAGAAAGCCACGGCUAACUACGUGCCAGCAGCCGCGGUAAUACGUAGGUGGCAAGCGUUAUCCGGAUUUAUUGGGCGUAAAGCGAGCGCAGGCGGUUUUUUAAGUCUGAUGUGAAAGCCCUCGGCUUAACCGAGGAAGUGCAUCGGAAACUGGGAAACUUGAGUGCAGAAGAGGACAGUGGAACUCCAUGUGUAGCGGUGAAAUGCGUAGAUAUAUGGAAGAACACCAGUGGCGAAGGCGGCUGUCUGGUCUGUAACUGACGCUGAGGCUCGAAAGCAUGGGUAGCGAACAGGAUUAGAUACCCUGGUAGUCCAUGCCGUAAACGAUGAAUGCUAGGUGUUGGAGGGUUUCCGCCCUUCAGUGCCGCAGCUAACGCAUUAAGCGUUCCGCCUGGGGAGUACGACCGCAAGGUUGAAACUCAAAGGAAUUGACGGGGGCCCGCACAAGCGGUGGAGCAUGUGGUUUAAUUCGAAGCAACGCGAAGAACCUUACCAGGUCUUGACAUCUUU